GAUUAACUGAUUAUUAUGCCAACUAAUUGAGUGAUAGCAUGCAUGUUGAUUUAUAAUUUCAGCCUUGCCUAGAGUUGUUUUUAAUAGUUCAUCUAUUGCUCUUGAUAGGGAAGGUUGAUUGGUAUAUAAGGGGAAUGCUCGACCUGUGUGUCAACAAUGGAUGGAGUAUUGUGUUCCCGUUAUUUCUUUUGUUACUAUUCUCUGUUUUCUUUUGGGAGGAUUGAAAACUAAGCUGACAUCACUAGGCCAAUAACGUCAAUAUACAACACUUUUUACACAACAAAUUUUUUUUUUAUGUUGUGUGAUGAAGGAAAGUGAAUCAUACAACACGUUUAAUAAACUUUCGUCGUAUAAGGCUGUUAAAAUUCAAAAGUUUUUAGCUAGAAACUCAUUGCACAACACUUAGAAGAAAGGUUUGUUGUGUGAAUGGAAAAAAAAAUAAGCGGCACAUUUCCCUCCUACUUCUGCUCAAACUUCCCUCAUGUAUAGUACAACAGUCUGCUUGUAUCUGUUGUAUGAGUGUAGCUUGCAAAAUGUCACACAACAGUUUUUUUACUUUGUGUUGUCCAAAUGACAAAGAUAUAUUGGGAAGGUUUGGAUAUGCCCCAAAAUGUCAUUCAUUCCCCCCAAAGCGAACAAAUUUUGAUUAAAAUGUAGGCUACAUACAUGCACUCCUAUAACGAAAUUACUUAUUUGUGUUGUCUGAAUGAAAAACGCCUAUUCCUAGCACCAAAAGUGAAUUUUGAUUGCGCAUAAGCGGGAAUUUUCCCUCUUUGCUCCCUCAGCUCAAAUUUAAAUUUGUAAAUAAUCAGACAACAUAACUUGAUUUAUGUGUUGUCUGAGUCAGGGACACAAAAUAAAAGAAUCAAAUGCGCGCCUUUGACAAAUUAAUUAGGGCUAGCUAGCUACAGACCAUCUCUAUUCUGAGUAUUAUCUCACAUUCUCACUCCCACUUUGGGCUUCAAGCUGUUUCAAGUUUUCAACACUUCGACAAAAACUCUCCCUUUUCUUCGAGCCAGCACCCAAACUCUCCCUCUUUAGAAUUUUCUUCGAGCCAAACAGCCAUCACUCACCCAAUACUGAAAUCAGUCUAUUUGAAUCCCCAAUACUAAAAGGGAAAUCUUCGAUUGGGAAUCCGGGUCUUCAAUUUGGAUUAGUAGGUUAGGGUUCUUCAAUUGGAAACCCGAUUAAGUCACUCUCUCUUUCUUGCUCGUAUUCUCCUGCGCGACACCAACACCUUGUCUUCUUCUCUAUAACAAGCAUUGUUUCUCACCUCCUCUCUCACCUUCUUCACCUCUACAACUACCAUGGCGGAGAGAGAAAGCACACAUAUGAUCAAGAAUUCGAGGAGAGAGAAAACAGAUCUGGGAUUUCUUUCUCCUCCAUUGCUAACGAUGCUGGGGUCUUCUUCAAGUGAAAGAGACUUUGCAGAAAGAUUUGUGGAGAGAACCAAAUAAGGGUGAACUAGCUGAGGCAACAAGUAUGAGUGGUUUAAGUGAAAAAAACACUUGGACGAUUAAACCUGUAAAUGAUAUAUUAGAUUGGCUUUCGGCUAAUUUUGGGUUUCAGCUAUACUCUAUCAGAUCCAGAUUCCAAGGCAUAUUUUGACUUAUUAAUUAAGGAAUGCUAUCAAGGCGUGACUAUACUUCAUGUUUCUUUCCUUUUAUUGGAACUGUAUGUUGGUGUAUCCAGAAGGGAAAAUGAGCUAGCAUUUUGCAAGCUUAAAACCAUGAGAUGCAGUUGAAGUGAAGGGGUAACCUAUAUUUACUAGUGACAAUGAUAGGUAGAGGUUACACUCUGAGUUGUCUUAUAAUGAGGUGUAUCUUUUCUUGCAGACCCAUUGAAAAGCUGAGAUAUGUUCCCAACAUGAAGAAGCAUAUUAGCAUGAUUGCAGGUGGUUCUUGUAUUACUUCAAUUCUUCAGGUCAUUGACGCUAUACUUCAAAAUCUUGUUGACACAACCAAGGGCCAGCGAUAAGUGUCAGAAGGAAAAGAGAAAGCAUGCACUUAUGCAGCAUUUUCAAAGGAGCAAGCUAGUGCGCUAGUGUUGCCCACUGCCACAUUUAUCAAUUCGUCCUGAGAAAUGUAUUAGUUUCAUCAUCAACUUUUGAUGUUCAAGUAGAUAGGGCAUGUACUAGGAUGCUUUUCUUAUUUUAAUGUUGGCUUGGAUGGUUGGGAAAUGCUCUCUUUUUACAUUUGACUUUUAAAGUAUGAGUUGGAUUACUCAAUUUGAUGGUUUUACAAUAUGGCUUCUUUCCAA